rnacentral:rRNA from 1 species
AGUCGAGCGCGGGAAGCAAGCUGAUCCCUUCGGGGUGACGCUUGUGGAACGAGCGGCGGACGGGUGAGUAACACGUGGGCAACCUACCUGUAAGACUGGGAUAACUCCGGGAAACCGGGGCUAAUACCGGAUGAUACUUUUUACCACAUGGUGAGAAGAUGAAAGAUGGCUUCGGCUAUCACUUACAGAUGGGCCCGCGGCGCAUUAGCUAGUUGGUGGGAUAACGGCCUACCAAGGCAACGAUGCGUAGCCGACCUGAGAGGGUGAUCGGCCACACUGGGACUGAGACACGGCCCAGACUCCUACGGGAGGCAGCAGUAGGGAAUCUUCCGCAAUGGACGAAAGUCUGACGGAGCAACGCCGCGUGAGUGAUGAAGGUUUUCGGAUCGUAAAACUCUGUUGUUAGGGAAGAACAAGUACCGUUUAAAUAAGGCGGUACCUUGACGGUACCUAACCAGAAAGCCCCGGCUAACUACGUGCCAGCAGCCGCGGUAAUACGUAGGGGGCAAGCGUUGUCCNGGAAUUAUUGGGCGUAAAGCGCGCGCAGGCGGCCUUUUAAGUCUGAUGUGAAAGUCUACGGCUUAACCGUAGAAGGCCAUUGGAAACUGGAGGGCUUGAGUGCAGAAGAGGAGAGUGGAAUUCCAUGUGUAGCGGUGAAAUGCGUAGAGAUAUGGAGGAACACCAGUGGCGAAGGCGACUCUCUGGUCUGCAACUGACGCUGAGGCGCGAAAGCGUGGGUAGCGAACAGGAUUAGAUACCCUGGUAGUCCACGCCGUAAACGAUGAGUGCUAGGUGUUAGGGGGUUUCCGCCCCUUAGUGCUGAAGUUAACGCAUUAAGCACUCCGCCUGGGGAGUACGGCCGCAAGGCUGAAACUCAAAAGAAUUGACGGGGGCCCGCACAAGCGGUGGAGCAUGUGGUUUAAUUCGAAGCAACGCGAAGAACCUUACCAGGUCUUGACAUCCUCUGACAACUCUAGAGAUAGAGCUUUCCCUUCGGGGACAGAGUGACAGGUGGUGCAUGGUUGUCGUCAGCUCGUGUCGUGAGAUGUUGGGUUAAGUCCCGCAACGAGCGCAACCCUUGAUCUUAGUUGCCAGCAUUAAGUUGGGCACUCUAAGGUGACUGCCGGUGACAAACCGGAGGAAGGUGGGGAUGACGUCAAAUCAUCAUGCCCCUUAUGACCUGGGCUACACACGUGCUACAAUGGAUGGUACAGAGGGCAGCGAAGCCGCGAGGUGAAGCAAAUCCCACAAAACCAUUCUCAGUUCGGAUUGCAGGCUGCAACUCGCCUGCAUGAAGCCGGAAUCGCUAGUAAUCGUGGAUCAGCAUGCCACGGUGAAUACGUUCCCGGGCCUUGUACACACCGCCCGUCACACCACGAGAGUUGACAACACCCGAAGUCGGUG